rnacentral:rRNA from 1 species
UACGUAUGGUGCAAGCGUUAUCCGGAUUUACUGGGUGUAAAGGGAGCGCAGGCGGCGCGUUAAGCCUGGUGUGAAAGCCCGCGGCCCAACCGCGGGACUGCAUUGGGAACUGGCGCGCUGGAGUGCCGGAGGGGUAGGCGGAAUUCCUAGUGUAGCGGUGAAAUGCGUAGAUAUUAGGAGGAACACCAGUGGCGUAGGCGGCCUACUGGACGGUGACUGACGCUGAGGCUCGAAAGCGUGGGGAGCAAACAGG